UAGGGAAUCUUCCACAAUGGACGCAAGUCUAGAUGGAGCAACGCCGCGUGAGUGAAGAAGGGUUUCGGCUCGUAAAGCUCUGUUGUUAAAGAAGAACGUGGGUAAGAGUAACUGUUUACCCAGUGACGGUAUUUAACCAGAAAGCCACGGCUAACUACGUGCCAG
rnacentral:rRNA from 1 species